CGUACAUAACAUAUCUUCUUACUUCUCAAUGCAGAAAACGUAUCUUACGUGAUAACCUAAUGGUCAGUCGUUCACUGUUGUUUAAAUAGUUCUCUUCAAGUGUUUUUCAACCAGUUAAAAGUUUCAAUUUAGAAGACAAAAAUGGUUCAGGAUGGAAAGGUCAUUGCUGAAUCUGCAUCUAUCAUGUCAAAUAGUGUAGAACAUGAUAGAAUGUCACAUACUUUAGUGUUUUAUGUUAAUGGCAAGGAGGUGGUAGAUGACAAUGUUGAUCCAGAAUGGACUUUGCUAUGGUACUUGAGGAAUAAGUUAAAUUUAACCGGCACAAAACUGGGUUGUGCAGAAGGUGGUUGUGGAGCGUGUACUGUAAUGAUAUCAAAAUUAGAUCGUUCAACAGGAAUUAUUACACAUUUAGCGGUAAACGCAUGUCUAACACCAGUUUGUGCUAUGCAUGGUUUAGCGGUAACCACUGUCGAAGGUAUUGGAAAUGUUAAAACGAAACUUCAUCCGGUACAAGAGCGCAUAGCAAAAGCACACGGAUCACAAUGCGGUUUUUGCACACCUGGAAUCGUGAUGUCCAUGUACGCAUUACUACGAAACACCCCUAAACCAAGCAUGAAGGAUCUUGAAAUUGCCUUUCAAGGAAAUUUAUGCAGGUGUACUGGAUAUCGCCCUAUUAUAGAGGCUUAUAAGACCUUCACGGAAGAAUGGGAAAUGAUGCAAAUGAUGUCAAAAAGUAACGAAAGAUUUUCAACAAAUGGAGAAUGCCCUAUGGGAGAGAAUUGUUGUAAAAAAAUACCAAUAGCAGAACCAACAGAAGUUUUUAAUUCGAGAGAAUUUUGUUCAUACGAUCCUUCUCAAGAAAUUAUAUUUCCACCUAAGUUACAUAUUUCUAAGCAUCUAGAUGAAGAAUACUUAAUAAUAAAGGGAAAGAAUGUCACAUGGCAUAGACCAAAGACUCUUAGUGAAUUACUGCGAUUAAAAGAUCAAUAUCCAAAUGCAAAAAUUGUUGUAGGAAAUACAGAGAUAGGGGUUGAAGUUAAAUUUAAGUAUCUAUCUUAUCCAGUUCUCAUACAACCUACCUCAAUCAAAGAAAUGUGUGCUAUUGAAGAAUAUCCAAAAGUACUGAAUGUCGGUGCUAGUACCACACUUGUUGAGAUGGAGAAAGCUUUACAAAAUCAAAUUGCCACAAAACCUGAAUAUCAAACAAGAAUUUUUAAUGAAAUAGUAAAUAUGCUUCAUUGGUUUGCUGGCAAACAAAUCAGGAAUGUUGCUGCUGUUGGUGGAAACAUAAUGACAGGAAGUCCGAUAUCAGAUCUAAAUCCAAUUUUUAUGGCAGCUGAAGUAAAACUAAAUAUUUCAAGUUUGAAGAACGGAGUCAGGCUUAUUCCAAUGGAUCAUACUUUUUUUAAGGGUUAUCGACAAAAUGUCGUUUCACCAGAAGAGAUUUUAGUUUCAAUUCAAAUACCGUUUUCCAAAAAAAAUCAAUACUUUAUUGCCUACAAGCAAGCAAGAAGACGAGAUGAUGAUAUCGCUAUUGUUAAUAUGGCAUUAAAUGUAUUCUUUGAACCAAAAAGUAACGUCGUCAGUAAAGCAUAUUUGGCUUUUGGUGGAAUGGCUCCAACGACGAUUUUAGCUAGGAAAACUUGUGAUAUUAUGAUUCGAAGGAAAUGGGACACAGAUCUUCUAGAAAAUGUUUAUGAUUCAUUACUGAAUGAAUUACCUUUACCAGAUAGUGUCCCAGGUGGAAUGGUCAAAUAUCGUAAAUCUUUAACUUUAAGCCUAUUUUUUAAAGGAUUUUUACACAUAGCUAAAAAGCUUCAAGUAUGCUUGCCAAAAGAAAUCGAAAGUGCUGCAGAAGGAUUUCACACUAAAGAACCAAGGAGUUCCCAAUAUUAUCAAAUGGUUCCAAAAGAUCGAGAACCAAACGAUUUAGUUGGAAGACCAAUUGUUCAUGCCAGCGCAUUUAAACAGGCAACAGGAGAAGCGAUAUACUGCGAUGACAUGCCGAAAUUCUCUGAUGAGUUUUAUUUAGCUGUGGUUUUGUCUACUAGAGCUCAUGCAAAAAUUUUGAAAAUCGAUGCGACUAAAGCACUGUCAUUAGAAGGAGUGGUUGCCUUUUAUAGUGCUAAAGAUUUACCUGAAGAGCAACAAUUCUAUGGUCCUAUAUUUCAUGACGACCGAGUCUUCAUGUCAGAUAUAGUGACAAGUCAUGGUCAAAUAAUUGGAGCAAUCGUAGCUAUUAAUCAAGCUAUUGCACAAAAAGCAGCCAGAAUGGUUCAAAUCGAAUACGAAGACUUACAACCAAUAAUCAUUUCUAUAGAGGACGCUAUUAAACAUCGUUCGUUUUUCGAUCAAACACCAAAACAUAUUAAAAAAGGAGACAUAGAAAAGGCAUUUGCUGAAUCGAAACAUAUUCUCGAAGGAGAAGCUAGAAUAGGAGGACAAGAACAUUUUUAUCUUGAAACAAACGCAACCUUGGUGAUUCCGAGAGAGGAAGACGAAUUGGAAGUAUAUAGUUCGACUCAACAUCCUUCAGAGAUUCAGAAACUCAUUUCGGAAGUUCUAAAUAUUCAUGCUAACAAGAUUGCGGUUAAAGUAAAAAGAUUAGGUGGUGGUUUUGGUGGAAAGGAAUCUCGUACUGCUAUACUUGCUUUGCCAGUUGCUUUGGCUGCACACAAAUUAAAGAAGCCAGUGCGCUGCAUGUUUGAUAGAGAUGAAGAUAUUAUGACAACUGGAACAAGACACCCGUUUUUAUUAAAAUAUAAAGUUGGAUUUGAUGAUAAUGGCGCAAUUAAAGGAAUGCAAGUUUAUAUCUAUAACAACGCCGGUUAUUCUCGCGAUCUUUCUUCCGCAGUUCUAGAACGUGCAAUGUUUCACUUUGAAAAUUCUUAUAAAAUACCAGUGGUCGAUGUGUAUGGUUUUAUGUGCAAAACUAAUAUACCGUCCAAUACGGCGUUCCGCGGUUUUGGAGGUCCACAAGGAAUGUUUGUGGCCGAAACAAUGAUAAGACAUAUUGCAGAAUAUUUAAAUAAAGAUCUUAUUGAGGUGCAAGAAUUGAAUUUAUAUAAAGAGGGUGAUACCACUCAUUAUAAUCAAAAGCUUAUUAAUUGUACAUUACGUCAUUGCUGGGAAGAAUGUCUUUUAUCUUCAAAUUAUAAUGAACGGCUUGCACAAAUUCAGAAGUAUAACAAAGAAAAUAGAUACAAGAAAAAGGGAUUGGCAAUAGUCCCAACGAAAUUUGGUAUUUCUUUCACUGUACUGUUUUUGAAUCAAGCAGGGGCACUUAUUCAUGUUUAUACGGACGGUUCUGUAUUAAUUAGCCAUGGCGGCAUUGAAAUGGGACAAGGUUUACAUACAAAAAUGAUACAAGUAGCAAGCAGAUCAUUAAAAAUAAAACCAGAUAAAAUACACAUAAUGGAAACCGCUACUGAUAAAGUACCAAAUACAUCUGCGACAGCAGCUAGCGCUGCUUCAGAUUUGAAUGGUAUGGCUGUUAUGAAUGCCUGUAAUGAAAUUAUGAAACGAUUAAAGCCAGUAAUAGAUAAGAAACCAGAUGGAACAUGGGAAGAAUGGAUAAAAAUGGCUUAUAUAGAAAGAAUCAGUCUUUCUGCUACCGGAUUUUAUAAAACUCCUGAUAUCGGAUACUCAUUUGAAACUAAUACGGGAAAUCCAUUCAAUUAUUUCACAUAUGGAGUUGCAUGUUCUGAAGUAGAAAUUGACUGUCUAACUGGAGAUCAUCAAGUAUUGCAAACUGAUAUUGUAAUGGACCUAGGUGAAAGUUUAAAUCCUGCAAUUGACAUAGGACAAAUAGAAGGAGCUUUUGUUCAAGGAUAUGGUUUAUUUACACUAGAAGAAUUGGUAUAUUUAAGAAAUGGAGCCCUUGCUACGAGAGGUCCAGGUGCAUAUAAGCUACCUGGUUUUACAGAUAUUCCCGAAACAUUUAAUGUAUCAUUAUUAAAGGGGGCUUCAAAUCCUCGAGCUGUUUAUUCAUCUAAGGCUGUAGGAGAACCACCGCUAUUUCUAGCAUCUUCUGUGUUCUUUGCAAUAAGAGAAGCUAUUAAAUCUGCGCGUCAAGAAUAUGGUCUCAAAAGUUACUUCCAAUUAGAUUCACCUGCAACUGCUGCUCGUAUUCGGCUAGCAUGUGUUGAUAAACUUACUGAGAAAAUUGCAGAACCAGAUAUACAACGUCAGUGGAAUAUUGUUGCAUAGAAGUUUAUAUAACGAACCAGAGAAUAAAUUCCCAGCCAUGAAACCCCGUAAGAUGCAAGGUCUAUUCAUAUACCUGGUCUAUGACUGUGAUAAAGUCGACGGUCGAUACAGUAGAGAGCAUAUCGAUACACAUAUACACGGCGCCAAGUACAUAUGAAUCAAAUUAAAACGAAUAAAAAUCAGCUCUUAAACAGUUUUCUUACUAUUUCAUACUUGGAGUUAACAGUGGAGUUAAGAUGUUAACAAGAUUACUAUGUGAAGGAAGAAUAGUUUAUG